AUGACGCAGGCAGUGUACGGGCACCUCUCCUCCGUUCUUGGAACCGCAUCAGCGCGUACUCACUCCAUCCGCCUUGACAUCAUCGAUGAUCGGUGUUUUGACCUGCUAGAGCUCGACGCUCCGUUCUCUGAGCAUGAGAUCUGGGAGGCUAUCAAGAAAAUGCCAACGGGCAAGGCGCCUGGGCCAGACGGAUUUAGUACUUCCGAGUUCCUUUGAGCAUGUUGGCCAAUCAUUAAGGCUGACAUCUGUGAGGCCUUUGACAAGCUCUACACCAUGAAUGGGCGCGGAUUUCACAAGCUCAACGAGGCUCCGCUUACCCUCCUACCUAAGAAGUCUGAUGUCGCCACGCUCACCGACUACCGGCCCAUCAGUUUGAUCCACAUCAUCGCCAAAUUGUUUGUCAAGGUCCUCUCGCUGCGUCUCACUCCGAGGAUGGGGAAAAUCGUCUCCGCCAACCAAAGCGCAUUUAUAGCCGGGUGA
rnacentral:rRNA from 1 species